rnacentral:tRNA from 1 species
GCCCGAGUGGCGGAAUAGGUAGACGCAACGGACUUAAAAUCCGUCGGUCUCGCGACUGUGCCGGUUCAAGUCCGGCCUCGGGUA